GCCGGCGUCUUGGUGGCCCAGGUGGCCAAGCUGACGUGCCGCGUGCUCAACCUGCCCAACGUGGAGGGCUUGGCCAUCUCGUGGCGCAAGGAGUCGGAGCAGGAGCUGGAGACCAGGACGCUGCCCCGGGUGCUGCAGCCCAACGGGCUCUACAGCGUGGACGGCGUCGCCAGCGUCUGCGCCGACGAGUGGGACAAGGGCGACGGCUACACGUGCCGCGUGAGCCACCCCGACCUGGUCUUCCCCGUGGAGGAGACGCUGCGCAAGAAGAACGGUGAGCGGCUUCCCUUGGGGCGUUUUGGGGCCGGAAACGCGAGAUUCGGCACCACCGCUUUGGGUUUUGGGGGGAAAACGGGAGAACUGGGUGCGUUGGGCGUCCACUCCAUGAAAUGGGGGUUUCUCAUUGCAAGGAGAUCGUUGGGCGCCUCCUCCAUCUUCUUUUGGGCGUUGUGGCCCAGAAGUCGGUGGACAAGUCCUCGGGUAAACCCACCUCGGUCAACGUGUCCCUGGUGCUCGCGGACGCCGCCGCCGCCUGUUACUAACCCCAAAAUCUGCAAUUUCACCUACAGCGCCCUGAGCGUGGCCGGCGCCGACUGGGCCGCGGGCAACGUCUACACGUGUCUCGUGGGCCACGAGAAGCUGCCCCUGCAGGUGGCCCAGAAGUCGGUGGACAAGUCCUCGGGUAAACCCACCUCGGUCAACGUGUCCCUGGUGCUCGCGGACGCCGCCGCCGCCUGUUACUAA